rnacentral:rRNA from 1 species
UUAAAUUGAAGAGUUUGAUCAUGGCUCAGAUUGAACGCUGGCGGCAGGCCUAACACAUGCAAGUCGAACGGUAACAGGAAGCAGCUUGCUGCUUUGCUGACGAGUGGCGGACGGGUGAGUAAUGUCUGGGAAACUGCCUGAUGGAGGGGGAUAACUACUGGAAACGGUGGCUAAUACCGCAUAACGUCGCAAGACCAAAGAGGGGGACCUUCGGGCCUCUUGCCAUCAGAUGUGCCCAGAUGGGAUUAGCUAGUUGGUGAGGUAACGGCUCACCAAGGCGACGAUCCCUAGCUGG